AAAACUUUUUCGAAAAAAAAAAAAUCUGUUCUUAUCAGUUUAAUAUCUGAUACGUCCCCCAUCCGGGGACUACAUAUUAAAUGGAUUUUUAGAUCACGGAGCUGGAGCCGGGGCUUGCUCCGUCCACUCCAUGCAUCGGCCUGGUAUUGCAGUGUCUCCAGGAACGGUGUGCUUUCC
rnacentral:snRNA from 1 species